UUCUUGUCUAUAGGCUUUGAAUUUAGCCCUAGGCAACUGAGACGGACUAACAUUGUAUGAUGUUGGAGAGUGUCAGUGGUACGAUACAAGUGCACAAACUACCAAUAGUUCGACAUUCAUACCUAAUCUGGAUAAGUCUUGUUGAGUGUGAGAUGUAUGGAAUGAUCGAUGUGCAUUAUAUCCUCUUGAAUUGAGGGUUGAAUUUUUUUUAGAUAAUAU
rnacentral:lncRNA from 1 species